AGCUUUGUACAGUGGCACUAUCAUAGCCAAUGAGGUUUAUCCGAGGCGUAAUUAUUGCUAAUUGAAAACUUUUCCCAAUACCCCGCCAUGACGACUUGAAAUACAGUCAGCAUGGGCAAUUUUUUUUUUUAAGAUUUUA
rnacentral:snRNA from 1 species